AGCGAACGCUGGCGGCAGGCUUAACACAUGCAAGUCGAGCGGGCAUCCUUGUGGUGUCAGCGGCAGACGGGUGAGUAACGCGUGGGAACGUGCCCUUCGGUUCGGAAUAACUCAGGGAAACUUGAGCUAAUACCGGAUACGUGCGAGAGCAGAAAGGUUUAUCUGCCGAAGGAUCGGCCCGCGUCUGAUUAGCUAGUUGGUGAGGUUAUGGCUCACCAAGGCGACGAUCAGUAGCUGGUCUGAGAGGAUGAUCAGCCACAUUGGGACUGAGACACGGCCCAGACUCCUACGGGAGGCAGCAGUGGGGAAUAUUGGACAAUGGGGGCAACCCUGAUCCAGCCAUGCCGCGUGAGUGAUGACGGCCUUAGGGUUGUAAAGCUCUUUUCUUCGGGACGAUAAUGACGGUACCGGAGGAAUAAGCCCCGGCUAACUUCGUG
rnacentral:rRNA from 1 species